AUUGAACGCUGGCGGCAUGCCUUACACAUGCAAGUCGAACGGCAGCGCGGGAGCAAUCCUGGCGGCGAGUGGCGAACGGGUGAGUAAUACAUCGGAACGUGCCCAAUCGUGGGGGAUAACGCAGCGAAAGCUGUGCUAAUACCGCAUACGAUCUACGGAUGAAAGCAGGGGAUCGCAAGACCUUGCGCGAAUGGAGCGGCCGAUGGCAGAUUAGGUAGUUGGUGAGGUAAAGGCUCACCAAGCCUUCGAUCUGUAGCUGGUCUGAGAGGACGACCAGCCACACUGGGACUGAGACACGGCCCAGACUCCUACGGGAGGCAGCAGUGGGGAAGUUUGGACAAUGGGCGAAAGCCUGAUCCAGCCAUGCCGCGUGCAGGAUGAAGGCCUUCGGGUUGUAAACUGCUUUUGUACGGAACGAAACGGUCUUUUCUAAUAAAGAAGGCUAAUGACGGUACCGUAAGAAUAAGCACCGGCUAACUACGUG
rnacentral:rRNA from 1 species